AUGGCAGCAUCGCUGCUGCUCCGCACCUCCGCACCUCCCAGGCUCCAAGAACACUGCCAGGGAUUUCCAAGGAGAAGGCAGCACCCUCUCCCCAUCUCCCCACUUAGCAUCUGGGAAGCCCUGUGGGGGAGGCUGGGACCUCUGGGGGUUCCACACUCUGCUGUUGGCGCUGGCUCCUGGCAGGACCUUCUGCCCUCACAGGGCGGCCUCCUGGUUCCUCGCUGGCCGAGCCCUGCCCCACCUCUCCUAGAAGGGCCCUCCAUGGCGGGGCACACCAUCCUCUGCGUUUUCCUGUCUUGGCUCAACACAUGGUCCUGUCCAAAUCCUCCCAACUCGAGCGAUGGAAGGGAGGAAGGAAAGGAGGGGCUGAGGAAGGAAACAAAGACACUGACCAAAGCCCGGAGGUUGGAAACCAUGGCUUUCUGCCAUGUGAGGACACUGCCAUCAGCUACUCUGGAGGAAGCAGCAUUCAAGGAAGCAAAGACCAUGUCCUCGACAAACAUUGAACCUUCCAGUGCUUUGAUCUUUGACUUCUCAGCCUCUGUAACUGUGAGAAAUAAAUCUGUGCUGUUUAUAAAUUACCCGGUCUAG
ensembl:lncRNA